rnacentral:misc_RNA from 1 species
GAUGAAGAACGCAGCGAAAUGUGAUAAGUAAUGCGAAUUGCAGAAUUUCCGUGAGUCAUCGAAUCUUUGAACGCACAUUGCGCCCCCUGGUAUUCCGGGGGGCAUGCCUGUCCGAGCGUCAUUGCUGCCCUCAAGCACGGCUUGUGUGUUGGGCCUCCGUCCUCCUCCCGGGGGUCGGGCCCGAAAGGCAGCGGCGGCACCGCGUCCGGUCCUCGAGCGUAUGGGGCUUCGUCACCCGCUCUUGUAGGCCCGGCCGGCGCUUGCCGACACAUCAAUCUUUUUUCCAGGUUGACCUCGGAGCAGGUAGGGAUACCCGCUGAACUUAAGCAUAUCAAUAAGCGGAGGA